UAGGGAAUCUUCCGCAAUGGACGAAAGUCUGACGGAGCAACGCCGCGUGAGUGAUGAAGGUUUUCGGAUCGUAAAACUCUGUUGUUAGGGAAGAACAAGUACCGUUCGAAUAGGGCGGUACCUUGACGGUACCUAACCAGAAAGCCACGGCUAACUACGUGCCAGCAGCCGCGGUAAUACGUAGGUGGCAAGCGUUGUCCGGAAUUAUUGGGCGUAAAGCGCGCGCAGGCGGUCCUUUAAGUCUGAUGUGAAAGCCCACGGCUCAACCGUGGAGGGUCAUUGGAAACUGGGGACUUGAGUGCAGAAGAGGAGAGUGGAAUUCCACGUGUAGCGGUGAAAUUGCGUAGAGAUGUGGAGGAACACCAGUGGCGAAGGCGACUCUCUGGUCUGUAAACUGACGCUGAGGCGCGAAAGCGUGGGGAGCGAACC
rnacentral:rRNA from 1 species